rnacentral:rRNA from 1 species
GUGGGGAAUAUUGGGCAAUGGGCGAAAGCCUGACCCAGCAACGCCGCGUGAAGGAAGAAGGUUUUCGGAUCGUAAACUUCUAUCCUUGGUGAAGAUAAUGACGGUAGCCAAGAAGGAAGCCCCGGCUAACUACGUGCCAGCAGCCGCGGUAAUACGUAGGGGGCAAGCGUUGUCCGGAAUGCUUGGGCGUAAAGGGCGCGUAGGCGGCCCGGUAAGUCUUAAGUGAAAGUCCUGCUUUUAAGGUGGGAAUUGCUUUGGAUACUGUCGGGCUUGAGUGCAGGAGAGGUAAGCGGAAUGCCCGGUGUAGCGGUGAAAUGCGUAGAGAUCGGGAGGAACACCAGUGGCGAAGGCGGCUUACUGGACUGUAACUGACGCUGAGGCGCGAAAGUGUGGGGAGCAAACAGGAUUAGAUACCCUGGUAGUCC